rnacentral:pre_miRNA from 1 species
AUGGUACUCCCUCUGUCCCGAAUUACUUGUCGCAGGUAUGGAUAUAUCUAGAUGUAUUUUAGUUCUAGAUACAUCCAUUUCUGUGAUAAAUAAUUUAGAAUGGAGGGAGUAGUAU